GCUUGUCUCAAAGAUUAAGCCAUGCAUGUCUUAGUGUAAAUAACUCUUAUGAAACUGCGAAUGGCUCAUUAAAUCAGUUAUCGUUUAUUUGAUGGUCCCUUACUACAUGGAUAACCGUAGUAAUUCUAGAGCUAAUACAUGCACAAAGGCCCGACUCACGGAGGGCUGUAUUUAUUAGAUUUAAAGCCGACAUCUUUUGGUGACUCAUAAUAACUUCGCGAAUCGUAUGCUUCGGCGACGAUGAUUCAUUCAAAUUUCUGCCCUAUCAGCUUUCGAUGGUAGUGUAUUGGACUACCAUGGCAGUAACGGGUAACGAAGAAUUAGGGUUCGAUUUCGGAGAGGGAGCAUGAGAAACGGCUACCACAUCUAAGGAAGGCAGCAGG
rnacentral:rRNA from 1 species